rnacentral:lncRNA from 1 species
GGUGUGUGUGUGUGUGUGUGUGUGUGUGUGUGUGUGUGUGUGUGUAUGCGUGUAUGUAUCCCGCGAGGCUGGAGCCACAGCUUCCCUGAUGAACCAUGGAGGCGGGCCAGCUCCUGAGCUGCGGUUGCCCUGGAGACCCACCUAAGCCUCUUUGCCUGGAGCAGCAUUAUCUGUAGAGGGAGUGGCUGAUCUGACACAAAAGCCUGAGGCGACCCA